rnacentral:rRNA from 1 species
AGGAUUAGUGUGCGUAAGCGCACGCAGGCGGUCUGUUAGUCGGAUGUGAAAUCCCCGGGCUCAACCUGGGAACUGCAUUCGAAACUGGCAGGCUAGAGUCUUGUAGAGGGGGGUAGAAUUCCAGGUGUAGCGGUGAAAUGCGUAGAGAUCUGGAGGAAUACCGGUGGCGAAGGCGGCCCCCUGGACAAAGACUGACGCUCAGGUGCGAAAGCGUGGGGAGCAAACAGGAUUAGAUACCCUGGUAGUCCACGCUGUAAACGAUGUCGAUUUGGAGGUUGUGCCCUUGAGGCGUGGCUUCCGGAGCUAACGCGUUAAAUCGACCGCCUGGGGAGUACGGACGCAAGGUUAAAACUCAAAUGAAUUGACGGGGGCCCGCACAAGCGGUGGAGCAUGUGGUUUAAUUCGAUGCAACGCGAAGAACCUUACCUGGUCUUGACAUCCACAGAACUUUCCAGAGAUGGAUUGUUGCCUUCGGGAACUGUGAGACAGGUGCUGCAUGGCUGUCGUCAGCUCGUGUUGUGAAAUGUUGGGUUAAGUCCCGCAACGAGCGCAACCCUUAUCCUUUGUUGCCAGCGGUCUCGGCCGGGAACUCAAAGGAGACUGCCAGUGAUAAACUGGAGGAAGGUGGCGAUGACGUCAAGUCAUCAUGGCCCUUACGACCAGGGCUACACACGUGCUACAAUGACAUAUACAAAGAGACGCGACCUCGCGAGAGCAAGCGGAUCCUCAUAAAGUAUGUCGUAGUCCGGAUUGCAGUCUGCAACUCGACUGCAUGAAGUCGGAAUCGCUAGUAAUCGUAGAUCAGAAUGCUACGGUGAAUACGUUCCCGGGCCCUUGUACACACCGCCCGUAACAA